rnacentral:tRNA from 1 species
UUCCAGGUAGCUUAAUGGUAAAGCACUCAACCGGCAAUUGGGGGAUCUGAGUUUAAGUCCUGGCCUGGGCU